CUGGCUCAGGAUGAACGCUAGCUACAGGCUUAACACAUGCAAGUCGAGGGGCAGCAUUGGGAUAGCUUGCUAUCCAGAUGGCGACCGGCGCACGGGUGAGUAACGCGUAUCCAACCUUCCCUAUAGUAGAGAAUAGCCCGGCGAAAGUCGGAUUAAUGCUCUAUGUUGUGUUUUGAGGACAUCUGACGAACACCAAAGGUUCACCGCUAUAGGAUGGGGAUGCGUCUGAUUAGCUUGUUGGCGGGGUAACGGCCCACCAAGGCGACGAUCAGUAGGGGUUCUGAGAGGAAGGUCCCCCACAUUGGUACUGAGACACGGACCAAACUCCUACGGGAGGCAGCAGUGAGGAAUAUUGGUCAAUGGGCGAGAGCCUGAACCAGCCAAGUAGCGUGCAGGAAUGACUGCCCUAUGGGUUGUAAACUGCUUUUAUCAGGGAAUAAAGUGCGGCACGUGUGCCGUUUUGUAUGUACCUGAUGAAUAAGGACCGGCUAAUUCCGUGCCAGCCGCUGC
rnacentral:rRNA from 1 species